rfam:Lupinus angustifolius cultivar Tanjil chromosome LG14, whole genome shotgun sequence.
AUGAGAUAUGAUGAUGUUUAUCCUUCAUUUCAGCAAUAGAAUGAUGAUUACCAACAUGCACUACCAUCUGAUCUCUC